CUACGGGUUGCUGCAGUGGGGAAUAUUGCACAACGGAGGAAACUCUGAUGCAGCAACGCCGCGUGGAGGAUGACACUUUUCGGAGCGUAAACUCCUUUUAUAUAGGAAGAAGAUGACGGUACUAUAUGAAUAAGCGCCGGCUAACUCCGUGCCAGCAGCCGCGGUAAUACGGAGGGCGCAAGCGUUACUCGGAAUCACUGGGCGUAAAGAGCGUGUAGGCGGACUAAAAAGUCAGAAGUGAAAUCCUAUAGCUUAACUAUAGAACUGCUUCUGAAACUCUUAAUCUAGAAUAUGGGAGAGGUAGAUGGAAUUUCUGGUGUAGGGGUAAGAUCCGUAGAGAUCAGAAGGAAUACCGAUUGCGAAGGCGAUCUACUAGAACAUUAUUGACGCUGAGACGCGAAAGCGUGGGGAGCAAACAGGAUUAGAUACCCGGGUAGUC
rnacentral:rRNA from 1 species